GGGAUUGCCCUAGUAACGGCGAGUGAAGCGGCAACAGCUCAAAUUUGAAAUCUGGCUCUCGGGCCCGAGUUGUAAUUUGUAGAGGAUGACUUUGAUGCGGUGCCUUCCGAGUUCCCUGGAACGGGACGCCAUAGAGGGUGAGAGCCCCGUCUGGUUGGAUGCCAAAUCUCUGUAAGUCUCCUUCGACGAGUCGAGUAGUUUGGGAAUGCUGCUCUAAAUGGGAGGUAUAUGUCUUCUAAAGCUAAAUACCGGCCAGAGACCGAUAGCGCACAAGUAGAGUGAUCGAAAGAUGAAAAGCACUUUGAAAAGAGAGUUAAAAAGUACGUGAAAUUGUUGAAAGGGAAGCGUUUAUGACCAGACUUGGGCUUGGUUAAUCAUCUGGGGUUCUCCCCAGUGCACUUUUCCAGUUCAGGCCAGCAUCAGUUUUCGCCGGGGGAUAAAGACUUCGGGAAUGUGGCUCCUCUCGGGGAGUGUUAUAGCCCGUUGUGUAAUACCCUGGUGGGGACUGAGGUUCGCGCUUCUGCAAGGAU
rnacentral:rRNA from 1 species